rnacentral:lncRNA from 1 species
GGCUUCCUGAUCCUAGGUGUUAUGUUGAGUGUUGUUCUUUGGUCUCUAGGAACUCUGAGCAGCAGCAGGGCACCUAUAGAGCUGCUGACUUGGAUUGUCCUGUGGCCAUAUUCACUGUCAUCUUGAUAUUACUGGUGAACCUGAUGCACAGGCUCCAAUGCUGGACGUCUCGCUACCCACCGGGCCCCGUGCCAUGGCUUGUGCUGGGUAACCUGCUGCAGGCAGACCUACAUAACAUGACAUACAACUUAUACAAGCAGCCUUCAGAUGAGAUGAAGAACUUACAGCUCUACCUGUACCAUGCCUGCCCAGAUACUGCCAUGCUCCCAUCUUGAUGAUAAUGGACUAAACCACAGAACCUGUAAGCCAGCCCCGAUUAAAUGUGGUUCUUUAUAAGA